UUUCAGAUUAUCUUGUCUGAUCUGAUCAUUGACCUUUGAGAAUUGAGACUUCCUUUUCUAUAAACACCAUCUGAUUUUAAAUCAGAAGAAAUCAAAGAGGAGAAAUGACGAAGAUACAGCUCCAUGGAAGAAGCAGGUCUCCAGGUAUUAUAUGUUUGAUCUUUGUUUUUACUUUUAGAUUUUCUUGUCUGAUCUGAUCUUAUCAUUGACCUUUGAAAAUUGAGAGUUUUCUUCUUCUAUAUAAGCAACAGCUAAUUUAAAAUCAUAACAAAUCAAAAGAGGAGAAAUAACGAAGAUACUGCUCCAUGGUAGAAGCAGCAGGUUUGCUGCAGGUGUUAUAUGUUUGAAAAUAUAGUUAAUACUAAUAUGUUAUUG
rnacentral:lncRNA from 1 species